UUGCCACUUCAUUUCAUGAUCGGUGCAACUAACAAUUGUUCAAUCAUGGACCGAUUUUGUCCAUUCACCUUAAAUUCAUUGCAUUUUCCCUGUGUUUCUUUAGUGCAUGACACGUUUCUGCCAAUGCCCCAUACUUGUUCUCAUGACUUGCUUCUCCAGGUUCGAGCCGUUUGACACAUACAUCUCUUGCAUGCAUCUGGCCUCAUCUCCAUCGAGCAAAAAUGGUAGGCUUACCCUUACAUUAAAUGUGUGAUGCCAACAUAUAUGACAUAGUUGCAAAUUUUUUUGUCUUCUCUGCAUCAUUUUAGUACACAAUUCUAGACUUUAGCAUACAAUUAGUCCAUGUUUGUAGCUUUUGGUUCUCAGCAAUGUUAUGUUCAGAGGAUCUCACCAAGUUGGGGGAUGCUGCAAAAAUAUAUUAUGUCCUGUAAUCCCAUCCAUCCGAUUGUUAGCCUACAAAUGGAUGAUUAAAAAAUAAACUAUAGACAACAUUCCACAUGUACCCGAAAGCACCUAUCUGAUAGGUGGGAUUAUGUGAUGAACAUAAUCAGUCGUCCAGAAGUUUGCCUGCCCCAUGUGUAGCUCUCUCCAUAAUCACCUUUACACACAGUGAAAGUGCCAACCAGAGAAUGCAUGGGACAUGUAGGGUGGACCACACAUUGAAAUGAAACAUCAUCUACAAAAAUCGUGAUGGUUCACUCAUCGAGUUGGUGACAUGGGUAUGUUGGAUGUGGAUGCUUAGCAUUUCUUUUUUCCUUCUUCUAAAACCAUGUAGCCAGGUUUUGUUCUUAUUUUCCCCUCAUGGUGGGGCCCAUCUUGCCCCACACUCACCUGAUUUUGCACAAUGCUGCAUAUGGAGGUGCUUUUUGGCUAGGGUGCAUGUGGUGCUUGUUAAUCUCUAGACAUCCAACAACUACAUUGCAGUCCACUGGAUGGACUGGAAAAUUGCUAGGUUUGGCCGAGUAUGGACUGAGGGGUCUCUCUUGCAGGUAUGUUGUAGUUUCUUUAAAGCUUCUUUAUGUUUUCGCAAUCCAAAAUUCUGCUUAUGAUUGUAUGAGAUGGGAGCUUGUUCUAUGGAUUUAUAAUAGAUGCUGUAUUAUCUUUCAAAAGAAUGUGGUCUCGACCCAAUUGAGGAAGUUAUGCCCAACGUGUAGUUAACAUAGUGUCCCAGUGGGAAUUAGAAGUUUAACUGGUAAUGGUAUCAUCUCUCCAUGAUGGGGGCAAUUGUAAUGGAUAGAUGAUUGAAAGGAGAAAUAAAGUCAACCAUAUAGGAUACUGAAUCUGCUAAGGCAUCUAGAAGACAGUUGAAAGAAACAAUCUACUCAAUGCUGUUUGAUAUGAAUGUUCCUACUAUUUGGGCCAUUAAUCAGGUAGGAGCAGUAUCUAAAGAAUUGUGCAGAGUGUAUAAGCACUUUAUUUGUCUGUGUGUCUGUAAAAUCAGGUUGCUUGUUUUGAAAACCAGUUACUUCCAUUUUCUAUUUUUUUAAGACUGAGAAUUUAUUCCUCAUUGUGGUAAGCGUCACGAACAAGCUGGAGAACAAGGUUUCAUGUCUGGAAGAAGAGAAUGAAAGGCUCAAGAAGCAGAAGGUUUUGGAUGCUUCCUAGUACAUGCCUGACGAGCAGCGAAAUCCACUUCAAGAAUAUCAAGAGAUGACUUUUGAUUGCUUUUUCUUUCUAAACUUUUUCACGCUUGGUGUGUUUUUCUUACUGGUUUUCUUUUACAAGGCCAAUUUUUGUUUCCUCUAUUGCUUAUGAUUUGCAAUACCUGCCGGCAAGCAAUUGAGUAGGGGUUGUAUUGUGGUGCUUGUAAGCCUUGUAACACCGUAUAGUUUGAUACAAUGACAAUUUAUUAAUGUGAUUGAAGUUCCAAUUGAAGGCAAAUCAUUAAGAAAAAAGGAAAUGAAAAAAGAAAGAAAAGAGAAGAAAAGUUCCAACUGCAAGCUUGCCAAGUUUUUUUUUUUUGUUAAUGUUGGUAUAAUGAUAUUUGAUUAGCAAGUAUAUUUUACAAUAUUUACUGGACAUGUAUAUAGUAACCACCACAUAUUAUCCUGUUGCAUAUUGAAGCAUGUGUUACAGAUAGCUAGC